rnacentral:lncRNA from 1 species
AUUUUUAAGGAGUUAGCCGCUCACCUGAGUCCAUCUCUCAUUAUUUAUACUUCAGUCAAUGUAAACAUACUGUCUGUCACUUGGUGUUUAUGUCCCCUAAUGUUCUCCAUAGCCAGGAGACUUUCCAUUUAUUUAUAACCCUAAGAAAAGUUAGAUAUUUUUUGUUUUUGUUUUUGUUUUUCAUCACAUCAGUACAUAAGAUGUCUGUGUCUCUGCUGCAUGUCUCAAGUUCUCCUGUCAGUGGUCUGUUAUUUCAAAGUAGAUGUGCUGCAGGGAACCCAUAGGAUGAUGUCAUAGGAGACUUGAACCCCCUAGGGCUUGGUCAGUGUCCCCUAAUGGAUUUAAGAGAUGGUACUGUGUAGAAGACUCCAUUGUUGGUCAGUGUCCCCUAAUGGAUUUAAGAGAUGGUACUGUGUAGAAGACUCCGUUGUUGGUCAGUGUCCCCUAAUGGAUUUAAGAGAUGGUACUGUGUAGAAGACUCCGUUGUUGGUCAGUGUCCCCUAACGAAUUUAAGAGAUGGUACUGUGUAGAAGACUCCGUUGUUGGUCAGUGUCCCCUAAUGGAUUUAAGAGAUGGUACUGUGUAGAAGACUCCGUUGUUGGUCAGUGUCCCCUAAUGGAUUUAAGAGAUGGUACUGUGUAGAAGACUCCGUUGUUGGUCAGUGUCCCCUAAUGGAUUUAAGAGAUGGUACUGUGUAGAAGACUCCGUUGUUGGUCAGUGUCCCCUAAUGGAUUUAAGAGAUGGUACUGUGUAGAAGACUCCGUUGUUUGCAGUGAUGCUUCUGGUGAGGUGAAAGGACUGAAGAGAAAGAAAGCCAGCUUGACUCCCUGGAAACGGUCAACUGGAAGUGAGAAGCUUUGAGUGGCUGGAAGGGAAAGGUGGAGAUCUGAGGCUACUUCUCUAUUGGUGCCAAAACAAAACAGACAGACAGACAGAUAGACAAAAAAAAAAAAACCAAGGGAAGCUAGGCAUGGUGUCACGUGCCUGUCGUGGGGGGCUAAGGCAGGAGGAUGUACAAUGUCUAGGUCACAGUGUCUUAGCCUUCGUGUCAGACAAGCCUGCAAAGGGCUCACUGCAAGGGAGGUGAUUUCAGUGACUAAAGUUCUCCCAAGGGCAUGAUGUCACUUCCAGAUGGAGGGGACAUAGGUGGCUCAUCCACAUACAACUGUGGACACUGGGUCUUCAUUCUCUCACGGAUACAUUCAGGGUUUGAUCAGCGUUUGGUCAGCGACCACUCUGCAGAGAGGACGGGCAAGGUCUGACUCUGCCGUAGCGGUCGUGACGGUGCAGAUUGCAACGUUCACCGUCGCCGGGAAGCUGUGUGUCUUUUGACUGGUUGCCUCUUUAAAAAGAACUUCAUUUCCUAGGAGAGGCUGUAUUUUGCGCAAGGUCGAGGGAGUUUAUAGCCCAUUAUAGUUUGCCCUAUCUUUUUCUUUAAUACUGUCUCACCUUGUUCUGUUUCCAUCUGGAUUUUCCUUGCUUAUGUCAUAGGCACCUUUUUGUUUGUUUUUGAGACAGGGUCUUACUGUGUAUCCCUGGCUGGCUUCAAACUGUCUGGUCUCAAACUCAGAGAUCAACAUGUUUCCUUAAUCGUAAGAUUCCGUCGUAAGGGCGUUACGUGACGCAAAGCACCCCUCCCCAUUUGAGUAACAGAAUAUUUUACUUUUCAAAGAAGCAUAUUGGAUCGGCAUUUACCCAGAUUUCUGAACCUCUCGGGCUUGAGGCCAUUUAGACAAAGGUGGGCUAAAUCUGUCUUCUGCAGUUUCUUCUACCUCCUCACAAAGGCUGAGAUAGUCACUGGGGGAAGGGGGGUUGCAUUUAUCUUUUCUCCUCCUGUUCACCUGUCCCCAGUUGAGAGUGAAGUCCCCAAGGAAUCAGAGAGAACAGGUGUCUGGAGACGCCAUCCAUGCCCUGAGAACAGAGCCCAGUGCCAGUGGCAGGCGUGCCAUGCUUCUGGGCCCUUUCACAUUUGGAUGUAGCAGCCUUUAAAGCUUUCCUUUUUUGGAGCUCAUCUGCUGCCAAGCCCUGGUAUAAUCUCUGGGCUAUUUGAUACUUAGCAAAUUUACAGCACUCCUUUUUGUUGUCAUGUAGCUCAGGUUGACCUCAAACUCACUAUGUAGUGAUCUUGAAUUCCUGAUUUUUCCAACCCCACUUGUGCCUCUCAAGUGCUGGGGUUAUAGUUGUCCACCAUGACACCCAACUUAGAUGUAUAAUAUUUUUUUUAAUUUUAUUUUUUUAUUUUUUAAAUGUUUUUUAUUUUUCUGAGAUAGGGUUUCUUUAUGUAUCUCCGACUGUCUUAGAACUUUCUCUGUAGACCAGGCUGGCCCCAGACUCAAGAGAGCCACCUGCCUCCCUAGUGGUGAGGUUAAAGGUGUGUGCUGCCACCAACAACCACCAAGAUUAACAAUAUUAAACUUCCCUCAAAUAGAAUUAUGCGUUCUAAAACAUUAACUUCUGAAUCACAGUGCCCAGUAUCCGAAAUAACCAGCCAUUAACCUAGUCC